AUGAUUUUUUAUUAUUUGUGAACGUACUACGAAUUAACAAACAAUUAUUAUAGUCAAACAAAAUAAAUCA
rnacentral:misc_RNA from 1 species